UACGAAGGGGGCUAGCGUUGCUCGGAAUUACUGGGCGUAAAGCGCACGUAGGCGGCUCUUUAAGUCGGGGGUGAAAUCCUGGAGCUCAACUCCAGAACUGCCUUCGAUACUGAAGAGCUUGAGUCCGGGAGAGGUGAGUGGAACUGCGAGUGUAGAGGUGAAAUUCGUAGAUAUACGCAAGAACACCAGUGGCGAAGGCGGCUCACUGGCCCGGUACUGACGCUGAGACGCGAAAGCGUGGGGAGCAAACAGG
rnacentral:rRNA from 1 species